rnacentral:misc_RNA from 1 species
AAAUUGCCCUGACUAUCGCUCCCUUAUUUUUCUUACCUUUUUCCCAUGUUUCUUCCCCUCUAAACCCACACGCUUUGCCCCUCAUUCUCUCUAUGUUUUUUUAUCUUUUUCAAGGUUAAAUCAGUUCUCCUAAAUCAGGCAAUAGUUCAGAAAAAAAUUAUUUUUCAAUAGAGAAAAUAUUAAAAUGAUUUUCAAAGAAUUAAAUGAAAAUACUUUUAACAAUUAAAAAAAAAGCAAUUUAAAUUUAGUAUACAUAUAGUAAAAUUUUCAUUUUCAUACAGGAAUAUGUUUUUCAAAACAUUGUAUUUUUCAAUAUAUAAGGGCUAAUUAAUUAAUUUCACUUAGGGAACGAUAGUAUUUUUCAAAAUACAAGAAUUAACUAAUUAAUUUCACUAAAAUAGAGGGACUAAAUAAUAGGUUGAUCAAUAUUAACUAACGAAAAAUUUGACAGAGGGACUAAUAGUUUAAUGGAAGUUUUUACAAGGACUAAAUAGUGUGUUCUUUAAAAUAUAGGGAUCAAGUAGUUAGUUUCGUUAAA